UACAGGAGGGUGCGAGCGUUGUCCGGAAUCACUGGGCGUAAAGGCGCGUAGGCGGCCUGGUAAGUAGGGGGUGAAAUCCUGCGGGCUCAACCGCAGGGCUGCCUCCUAAACUGUCAGGCUGGAGCACGGUAGAGGCAGAUGGAAUUCCCGGUGUAGCGGUGGAAUGCGUAGAGAUCGGGAAGAACACCAGUGGCGAAGGCGGUCUGCUGGGCCGUUGCUGACGCUGAGGCGCGGACAGCGUGGGGAGCAAACAGG
rnacentral:rRNA from 1 species